GUGAAUCUUGGACGAUGAACUCGCUGCCAAGGAGAUUUGGGAAGAAUCAAGGAUACUUAGAUCGAGAUCACCAUAGAGGGAGGAUAUCUUGAUCCCACUCAUAAUCUGAUGAGGAGUUGAAGGGAUUGAGUCAUGAAGAGUACACGAAGAUUAAACGACUCAAGAUGAGGAAAUCGGGAAAUUUCUGCAUCUGGAAGAACACGCUGACGAGAUUCCGGAACGGGACGUAGAUGAUCCGAAACGGAAAGGUGAAUCUGAUUCUGGUAAGUCGGAAUCUGAUAGAUCUUGGAACAGAAAGAGCAAGAGCUCUAGGCGUAGGAGAACGUAUGAUAUCGAUAGUGAAUCUGAAGAGAGUGAGAGUGAUUCCGAUGACGAAGAAGGAAGAUCUCUAAGAGUAAGCGUAGGCGUAUGAGAUUGUAUGAUAGUGAUAGUGAAUCCGAUGGGAGUGAGAGCGAUUCUGAUAGGAGACGAAGAAGUAAGAUGAGGCGAGGACAUAGGAGGAGGAAGAAGAAGAGAUACAGUGAUUCUUAAGAGAGCAGUGAAUUUGAGAUUAGUGCUUCUUCCUCUGGUGAUGAACAACACACCAAGUCAAAGAGCAAGAGACGGAAGAAGCCAUGUCUGGUUCUGAUACUGAUUCCAACAGUGAAGGAUUCUGAGCUUGAUGAAGAGGAGUUGAAGAAGUUCAAAGAGAUGAUUGAAUCAAUCAAAGAAGAAAGCUUCAGCAGCUCCUGAAGAUGAUGAAGAAGCUGAAGUGCCAUUACCUAAAGCUGAAGGUCACAUCAGUUACGGAGGUGCUUUAAAACCAGCAGCAAGGGAAACGUAUCCCACGUAGAGGAGUAGUGGGUCUUAACGCUGAUGAGAUUCAGAGGUUUGAGGAUCUUGGAUAUGUGAUGGGUGAAAGUAGGCAUCAAAGGAUGAGUGCUAUUCGUAUCAGAAAGGAAAACCAGGUUUACAGUGCUAAAGACAAUCGGGCAUGGGCUAUGUUUAACUAUGAAGAGAAGGCCAAGCGUGAGACUAAGGUUAUGUCUGAUCUCUCGAGGCUUGUGCAGCGCCAUAUGGGAGAAGAGUUGGGGCCUAAUCAUGACUCUUUUGGUGCUGGAAAGACUGAUGGAGCUGAUGAUUGAUCUGUUUUGCUUCCUUGUGCUGGGUACGUAUCUUAUACUUUUGUUUUUGUAGACUGUUCCUUAUUGCGCAUCAUAGUCAAUGUUUGUUUGCUACUUGACCGUUAAUGAGUAUAUGCAUUUAAUUUGCCAUGUGUAUCACAUUACAUUACUGCAUUUGUGUGUUAAAGAUGAAAUUGGACUUUAGGGACUUUGUAUGAUUGUGUUUGCCUGUGAAAUAUCGAAGACUCUGACUUCAGUGGUUGUGCAGCUGUUUUUAGACUAUUACUUAGCUGUGUGUAUGUAUUUGCCGUAGGCUGUGUUUAAUUAUGCCAGUAGAAGAAUCAAUUUAGUUAAGAUAUUAGCUUUUAAUGUCCACUUCUCAGCUUAUAAGAUGCACGAACGAAACAGUAGUUUUUGAUUAUUGAAACCUAGCACAUGAUAUUAUGUUGGAAACUUAGUCCUCAUGAUUUUUGCUCUUAUCAUUGUUGUUGUGACUAUUUUUAAUGGUAAUGCGACAUGAAGUGAAGUCUUGUGGUCAGGUCAUCACAUGUUAUCGUUGUCGCCACUAUUAUUGGGAUCUUUAUGAUUAUCAAGUGCAAUAAUAAUUUCUGAAUUUGCAGGCGGAUAUUAUUGGGUUUCAAUUAUAAUUUAUGAUUCCACUUUUGUGGAACUAUACAGUGCAAUAUCUAGUCAUUAGAAGACCCUACGUUAUACCUGGAGGCUGGAGGUCAUGGUCUCAGGCGCGUGGUGAGCGUUGUCUGAGACUGAUGGUUAAAGAUGAGUUUUUUCUAGUUGAGGAAGCUGUGUGCUCGGUGGUUUUUGCCGGUAUCAAGAGUUUGGUUCUCUUUUGAAACCUUAGAUACUCUUGUCUUUCCCCUAACCGUGUGCUUAGACGAGCUCGUUUACCUCCUCUUCCUCCUGCUUGUGUCUACUUUGCUGAGACUGUACCCGAUUAAUCUUUCUGGAGGUUAGAAUUUGGCUUAUUUUGUCUUUGAUUUAGCAACGGUGUAGCUUCAAGGUAGGGGGCUGUGGGGUGAGGUGAGCAGUUGAAGGUUAUACUUGAGAAGAAGUCGGUGGUCUCUGUUUGUCCUCGGUGGCUUCUUGCGUGUUGGAGCAAUAUAAAGAGGUUGAAGCUAUUUGGUGUCCAGGUAAAGGUGUGGUUGAAGAAGGGGUUUGUCCCGGUGUUUGCUUCUUAAUGGGUUUGUUUGUCUUGGUUUUGUCCAAGUGGUUUGUGGUCAUCGUGAACGUGUGGUUCAAAUGAGGAUUUCUGCUCUCGAUGAAGAAACCCCCUGCUUUGUGUGCUUGCCUGCUUAGUGCAUAACAAGAAUCUGACUAGUCAUAUAGAAAUAAGUCUUUGUUUAGUCUCUUGCACGGUUGUUUAUGGGUUUAGUUUAAGGUUGGUAGUUUGAUGUUCUGUUUUGAAGUAUGUGAUGUAUGUGUCCCGUUUCUUUGGGCUUUGGGCUUCCCUGUUUGGGAUUAGUUUCCGGGGAUGUUCAUGUGUUCCGCCGGCGUUAGGAUUCUAACCUUGUAAUUUUCUAUUGUUAUGAAUGAAAAACUCGGGAAAAAAAAAUCACGAAAAUAUAAACUGAUCUUUGGUUAACUAUGGACGAGAAAGCGAUGUUAGCGGGUUCAAAUUAAUAUGAAAGCAUUAUUGUUGUCUUAUUAAACUAAGAAACUUAUUCACCUGCAGCAUUAACAAAAAAUUAUUCUAAAAUUUUUGGAUCUAAUAAAUGUCACCGUUAACGUCUCUUUCCUAGGAACACAGAAUAAAAGAGGAAUUUUGACCAAAUGCUCUUCUAAUACUGCAAUUGUGAAAAUGGACUAAAGUGGCUUUCAAGUUUCAAGGAUCCUUAAUAAAUGGAAAAAUUGGAAAAAUUGGACACUUUGAACUUUUAUUUGUCACAAUAGGACUUCUGAUAUUUUGGGCAAUUCUAGACAACUUUUAUCCUUCUUUUAUGGGAAAAAUAGUAAACUGAAUUUUAAAAAUGUUAAAAAAUAUGAAAACUAUUGAAAACAUAAGUAUGACAAUAUAUAUGUUUAAAAGUUUUUUUUUUUAAAAGUGGAAUCAUAUUUUAUUUUAUCUUCUAGCUACAGUUAGAAUAUUCAUUCUUGUCAUCUACUUAGUCUAGAAAUCGGAUACUAAGUUUUAUACAUAGAUAUAUCUUGGAUAUACAACGUAAACUAGCAUUUCUUAUAUAUUCUAACCAAGCUAUAUUUCGAAACGUUAUAAUCAAGAAAGAUGUCUUCAGUAUACCUACAGCUUGAUAACGACAUAUAGCCACAACGCAGUGAUAUACCUUAUCUAUAUUACGUGCCAUAACAUGUUCUGCCUUUUACCUUAUGUGGCGCUUAAGGAAGAAUAUGGUUCACAUCUACUCUACUGUGCUCUGAGUUAGCUAGGAUAUAUAUUCUACGUGAAAUCCGAAAAAUCUGGAAGUUUCCAUAUUCGGUUAAAGAUUUUUCCUAAAUCUAAACUAAAUCUUCCCUAAAUAUCUCAUAGAAUAUUUUCUCCCACGUUUUUCUCUUUCUCCCACGAUCUUUUCUCUUCAUUUUUUUGUGUUUCUCUCUUCUUCAUCAACAUAAUCAUCUCUUUUCUCUAUCAAUACAACAUGGUUCCAAUCUAUGUUAAAUUCGGUGAACCUGCAGUUGUAUCUCUAUCAUCGAGGGACGUACACAUAAGUGAAUUUUGUGACAUUAUUCAUUCAGUGUGUAAACAUUGUUUAGAUCAUCAAUGUGUUGUUGAUGUAGUAUAAGAGCAUUGAGAAGAGAGAGGGAGUUUUUGGCGAGAAGGAUAAACUCGAGACUGACGCCUAAGGAGAGAGAGGAGCUGUACAUGAAGUGGGACGUACCACUGGAAGGGAAACAGAGGAAGCUACAGUUCGUGAACAAGCUAUGGACUGAUCCUUACGACUCAAGGCACGUGCAAGAGAGUGCAAAGAUAGUUGUCAAGCUUGUUGGGUUCUGUGAAAGUGGUAACAUCUCUAAAGAGAUGUUUGAGCUCAACUUCGCCAUGCCUUCAGAUAAAAAGUGGAACAUUGUUUGGCACAACAUCUCUAAUCUUUUUCAUCUAUGAAGAUAGUUUUUUUUGUAAAAAAGUAGACAACACAUAAGAGUACUCCUAGUUAUAUCAUUAUGGUUGUAUUUGUAGUACUAGAUUUCUUGUCAAAUUUGAGACUAUAACGAUCAGAUUACCAUGUAUGAUCCUAGCGCCAGUACCACGUCCUCUUGAUAGUGGCUACAACAAACCUCAGUUUUAGAAUUGAUUUUGAUGAGUCAAGGACAUUGUACCCCCAUUGCUGGGGAGGCUCAGCUAAGUGAUUCUACUUGUAAUGAAGUUUUCUUCCACUGUCGCACAUAAAAAAGGUUGGAACUGUAACCAGAUUAAUAUUCGGCAAUAUGAAGGUACACAACAAAACUAAAUCAAUCUCUGCAACCUGAAACUUUUGUGUGCAACGACAGACCCUUAUUUUCUGAGGAACACUGUAAUAUUGGAGCAUGAGUAUAACCAAAUCUAUGAUAAAUAAUGACAACAACUGAACAAUAAUGAAUCAAACAGCAAACUUAAGUUUCUUCUAUGUUGUUGGAAAAUGUAAUUCUAGUUUUCUUCCCUCUCCCUGUGCUCAGCUAAACAAUACGCAGCAAUAGCAUCUGUUAGAUAUAUUGUUGGUUUACGUAUGCCUGUCGAAAAACUUCUAUGAGUACAGAGAAAGUUGCAAAGCCAGUGCAGCCUAUACAUGCAGCUUUUGGCCCACCUGAAACAAAAUCAAAUUCAUCAAAAUCCCCAGAGACACAACGUAUAAUGAAAGCAAACAAAAAUCUCUUCAAAGAGAGCAUGUGAAAUGUCAAAGGAACAAAAGCAACUACGAGACUUCAGUUUGAGAAUCAAAGAUUAUUACCUAUUGUUAAGAAACAUGAGAUUUUGAGGAAGGGUAUUAAUGUAAUAUAACCUGAGCAGAAUGACUGUGCCACUUAAAAAGGAAGUGCUCUGUUCCUCUUCUCUCUCUCUCUCUCCAACCUCAUUUCUCUGAUCCGUAGGAUCUUUCGUGUCCAACCUUAAAAACCCUAACAGAUUUUCUUCCAAACGGAGAUCAUUGAUCCACUAGUAAAGAAACAAUCAUCUCUGUAUCUUCUUCUAACGAGAAGAAAUCGAUCAAUAGCCUUUUUUACUCCAGCUUUAGAGACGAGCUGAUCCUGUGAUCUCCAAAGAGGUUCAACAAGGGUGAAAGAUUUUGAUUUUUGAUCAGAUUAAAGCGACUAGGAUUUAUCUUGAAAAUGGAAACGCUAAUCUUAGCUGCAGAACAUAGGAAUCAGUAUCAUCAUCAUGGGAAGAAAACUGUUGGACGACAUAGUGAUGGUUUUAGAUCCAAAACUUUCAGGCAAAUCAAUUGCAGAACUUUCCAUUAUGGAGUGGGUUUGCUUCCAAGGCCAAAGAGAACCUCUUCAACGUCUUUAACCAAAGGAUCUCUUCCUUGCGGUAGAACCAUUCCCAUUCCCAUUCAAGGCUCUCAGAUCCGUUGUGAGUUUGUUGACAAAAGGAGAAGCCUUUCUUACUCUGAGCUUUGGGCAGGUCCUACUUACUCCAACUCUCCUCCACCUACUUCUGUCCCCAUUCCUAAGUUCUCUCUCACGCAAAAGAGGACGGUUUCUUUGAGCUUCCCACCUCCCCACCCUACUGUUGAAGCUGCCAAGUCUGCGCCUGUUUCUCCAACCUCAUCUGCUGAUAACCCUUUUCACACUACUGUCUCUGCCACUGUGACACUGCGUCGCAUGCUCAACCUUGACCAUGAAUGAAUAUCAGGAGUCUUUAGGGGGGACAGGGGUUAGUUUUAGUUUUCUGCAAUACAUAAAUAAGUAGCUGGUUUGAUUUUGUUUAGUAGCGUCUGAUGGUGGUGGUAAAGGAACAACGUGGAAGCAGUCAGUCUUCACAGCAGAGUUGGUCAGUAGUUACUGGAUCUCCUAUCCUAGGUGGAGCAGAUUGCUAUAGUGAGUAGAAACAUUCAGGAAGCGGAUUCUUGGUUUAGCAUUUAGGAUGGCUAGCUAGAAAUUCACCAGUCUCUAUCUAACAUAUACCCUGGGUUGGUGAAUGCUAAGUUCAUGGUGCAUUUCCUCUUUUCCCUUUGUAUAUGUUUCUCUUUUAGAGUCUUGGCUUCUUUUCUUAAGUGGGUUAGUUAGCAACUAGGUUCCUGUGUCUAUUCUUCCAAGUUACAACAUCUUUUGGUGGUCUUAAUCUUACCCUUCCUGUUUUGUCUCCCUCCUUGUUCAUCUCUUUUCUUUUCAUCCCUUUGAGUCUUCUUCUAUUUCGUUUAUGUCCAGCCUUAAAAGAUGUAAAUCCUUGCUACUUGUGUUUAGUGGUCUUCCUCUUCAACCCUUUCCUUAUUUUUUUUUGUAAAAGGAAGAAGGGAAUGGGAAGCUCUUUCUUCUGACCAACCCUCUUGAACGGUCUCUAGUCUACUGGUAAAUAUUCAUCCAAAUCUUUCUGGCGAUACUUCUUCUGAAGACAAAGACAUUCCUCAGGCUCUUCUUGAUACCGGUCUUACCUACUUUAAAAGUUUCCUUGGAGUUUCGUGAUCCUGCCUAAUCUGCUCACCAGGGGCUUAUAGAAGCUGCUGCUCCGCUCUGCUCUGUUGUUGAUGCUUUUGAUCAUAGUUCCUUUGUCUCUACUAUCUUUUGGUUUUCUUGUAUUGUUUACGCAGUGACAAGUAUUGUCUCAGUGUUUGGACCUCUGCUUUCCAAAAACACAUAUGUUUCUCCUUGUCUUUGUGUAAAGUUUGUGGCAGUGUUGUAGGCAUUUUGGUAUCUGGUACUGAGUUUUAAUGGUGAAGGAGCUGUAUCCCUUGUUCCCUAUAAGUAUUAUUAUCAAAGAUUGUCGAUA